GUAGGUGGCGAGCGUUGUCCGGAUUUACUGGGCGUAAAGAGCGCGCAGGCGGUCGUACAAGUCGCGUGUGAAAGCCCCCGGCUCAACUGGGGAGGGUCACGCGAUACUGUUCGACUCGAAGGCAGGAGAGGGAAGUGGAAUUCCCGGUGUAGUGGUGAAAUGCGUAGAUAUCGGGAGGAACACCAGUGGCGAAGGCGACUUCCUGGCCUGUUCUUGACGCUGAGGCGCGAAAGCUAGGGUAGCAAACGGGAUUAGAUACCCCGGUAGUCCUAGCCGUAAACGAUGGACACUAGGUGUUGGUGGUAUCAACCCCGCCAGUGCCGAAGCAAACGCAUUAAGUGUCCCGCCUGGGGAGUACGGCCGCAAGGSGKA
rnacentral:rRNA from 1 species